GACGAACCGUGCGAACGUUAUUCGGAAUCACUGGGCUUAAGGCGCGUGUAGGUGGGGCGGCACGUCGGUCGCUGAAAUCCCCCGGCUUAACCGGGGAACGGGCGCCGAUACGACCGCCCUUGAGGGGCGUAGGGGGGGCUGGAACUUCCGGUGGAGCGGUGAAAUGCGUUGAGAUCGGAAGGAACGCCCGUGGCGAAAGCGAGCCCCUGGACGUCAUCUGACACUGAGACGCGAAAGCCAGGGGAGCGAACGGG
rnacentral:rRNA from 1 species